GAUUCCAAAUCAUAAAUUUUGGACAAUUUUCUUUGUUGAUAUCUCUUUGGUUUCAGGUUCUGUUUAAGCAUUUAAGUGUUGACCUCAAGGAUGUCACACCCUCUUCUCUUCUAAAGGAUGUAGUUUGACAAUUUGAAGGAUCAGUCAUUAAGCAUCAACUUGUUACUCACCUUAUGCCUGGGCAUUGCUUUACGAGCUAUUUCAGUUGCUCAUACUGAACCUGAUGUUGGCCAUAGUUCCAAUACUAAUCACCGACCCAGUCUUAUUCAAUCUUCUGCUCCACAGAUUGAGAUUGCAGGCCCACCAUUUUCUCUGAUCGGACCCGGCAGCAUAUUGUCUGGAUUAGCAAUUCCCUCUUUGAUCCCACUACAACAGAGACCACCAAGUUCUCUAGAUGAGAGUGGACUCCUAAUUUCAUGAAGCCAACACAAUACACCUACCCUU